UCCUUCUAUACAUCAUAUAAGAAACUUUUACCUGUAAAGAUCAUGUGCAAAGGGGAAUCAUAUGUACCCUAUGCCAGGUGGAUGUUCAUGUCUCUAUAAGUGUGGUUGUUAAUAAGUGGAAGGAUGAGAACGAUAAACUCAUGACUUUUAGGCAGUGGCUUGAUUUCUGCAGGGUAGAGAAUUCCACAAGGAUAUCCUGGGACUUGGGAGAAUAACCGGUCAAGAUUUUUUCCAUUCCUCCAUUUUUUUAUAGAGUCAAGACUCGGUUCUCUAAUUGAGCUGGAAAGGAAUUAAGCUGAGGUUAUGUUUACAAUUCCCAUCACAUCUCUCCCGCUUAUGGAUUGUUUGAUUGUGAGUGCCAGUGUUUGGUUGUUAUGUUUAUUUCAUUGUAUUAACCUAUAGCUUCAAUCUGCACUUGGCGGUAUAUAUUAUCAAGGUUUACAAGCCACUCUUAUGCCUUCAACAACUGUGGCUUUUUA